GAGAGGAAGGGAAAAAGGGGACGUGCAGGGGUCACGCAACGGUUCUCGAGCCUGAACAGGAAGCGCGUCGGGGAUGCGAGCUGGGAGCAGGGCUCCAGGGAAACAGCUUGAGGAAGGGACGCAAUUCGAGCGGCUUUCUUUUCCGGCGGGACGUUAACAGGAUGAAGUCACUGCCAGAGCCUGACUUCCUACUAUGAAAAAGUGUUCGAGGAUCAUCAGAUUGGAGAAUCUGACCCAGUGGAACUUAAAAUAUACUUGGUCCAAAUGGCUUCAUCAAGAUUUGAGAAGUCAUCCAGGAGUGUUUGAAUCCAAGAGGACAUUUGUCUUCAGCACUCUAGUUGAAUUUUUUUCAAGGAGAAAGACAUUUCUCAAGCAGUGAACAUCCUUAUGGAUAUUGGAAUCAAUAUGAAGUUGGAAUCUUAGUCACCUAUGGAAACCUGGGCAUUUUUAGGGACACACUGGCAUUUCAAAGCACAAGAUUGAAUGUACAGAUGCAGUUCAAGUUAACAAUUGAGACUCAGAAUCAAAUCAAACAACAAUUCAUUUAUCAGAGUUUUUUCAGUUUUGUGGCUUGCUACAAAGUCAUUAGAUAUCUGUGAAGAACCAAGCUAUCUUUUCUUGUAAGAAAGUAGUACAUGCUCUUUCAAAUUUUAAAAACAGAUUUUUUUUCAGUUUCAAGUAUUUUCCCAAAUGUGUUUCUUAAAACUUUGUACUCUGCUACUAUAAAAACAAUUAUAGAGUUAGAAAAGUAUUUUUAAAAGAAAAAAAUUAAGAAAAUGGUCUAGGAUUUUUAGUUUGUGUCUUGUGCUCAGGGUUGCUUUUAGUUAUUGAAUAAAGACAUUUUUCUGCUAUUAAAAU